UACGUAGGGACCAAGCGUUGUUCGGAUUUACUGGGCGGAAAGGGCGCGUAGGCGGCAAUUCAAGUCAUCUGUGAAAUCUCCGGGCUUAACUCGGAACGGUCAGAUGAUACUGCUUUGCUCGAGUGCGGAAGGGGCAAUCGGAAUUCUUGGUGUAGCGGUGAAAUGCGUAGAUAUCGAGAGGAACACCUGAGGUGAAGACGGGUUGCUGGGCCGACACUGACGCCGAAGCGCGAAAGCCAGGGGAGCAAACGGG
rnacentral:rRNA from 1 species